UACCGUGAGGGAAAGGCGAAAAGAACCCCGGCGAGGGGAGUGAAAAAGAACCUGAAACCGUGUACGUACAAGCAGUGGGAGCACGCUUAGGCGUGUGACUGCGUACCUUUUGUAUAAUGGGUCAGCGACUUAUAUUCUGUAGCAAGGUUAACCGAAUAGGGGAGCCGAAGGGAAACCGAGUCUUAACUGGGCGUUAAGUUGCAGGGUAUAGACCCGAAACCCGGUGAUCUAGCCAUGGGCAGGUUGAAGGUUGGGUAACACUAACUGGAGGACCGAACCGACUAAUGUUGAAAAAUUAGCGGAUGACUUGUGGCUGGGGGUGAAAGGCCAAUCAAACCGGGAGAUAGCUGGUUCUCCCCGAAAGCUAUUUAGGUAGCGCCUCGUGAAUUCAUCUCCGGGGGUAGAGCACUGUUUCGGCAAGGGGGUCAUCCCGACUUACCAACCCGAUGCAAACUGCGAAUACCGGAGAAUGUUAUCACGGGAGACACACGGCGGGUGCUAACGUCCGUCGUGAAGAGGGAAACAACCCAGACCGCCAGCUAAGGUCCCAAAGUCAUGGUUAAGUGGGAAACGAUGUGGGAAGGCCCAGACAGCCAGGAUGUUGGCUUAGAAGCAGCCAUCAUUUAAAGAAAGCGUAAUAGCUCACUGGUCGAGUCGGCCUGCGCGGAAGAUGUAACGGGGCUAAACCAUGCACCGAAGCUGCGGCAGCGACGCUGAUGCGUUGUUGGGUA
rnacentral:rRNA from 1 species